AUUACCUCAGUAACGGCGAGUGAAGCGGUAACAGCUCAAAUUUGAAAUCUGGCUCUUUCAGGGUCCGAGUUGUAAUUUGUAGAAGAUGCUUUGGGUGUAGCUCCGGUCUAAGUUCCUUGGAACAGGACGUCAUAGAGGGUGAGAAUCCCGUAUGUGAUCGGUGGCUUUCGCCCGUGUAAAGCUCUUUCGACGAGUCGAGUUGUUUGGGAAUGCAGCUCUAAAUGGGUGGUAUAUUUCAUCUAAAGCUAAAUAUUGGCCAGAGACCGAUAGCGCACAAGUAGAGUGAUCGAAAGAUGAAAAGCACUUUGGAAAGAGAGUUAAACAGUACGUGAAAUUGUUAAAAGGGAAGCGCUUGCAACCAGACUCGCCCGCCGUUGAUCAUCCUCGGUUCUCCGGGGUGCACUCUGCGGCGGUCGGGCCAGCAUCAGUUUCGGUGGUGGGAUAAAGGCCUUGGGAAUGUGGCUGCUUUCGGGCAGUGUUAUAGCCCUCGGUGCAAUGCCGCCUACCGGGACUGAGGACCGCGCUUCGGCUAGGAUGCUGGCGUAAUGGUUGUAAGCGACCCGUCUUGAAACACGGACCAAGGAGUCUAACAUCUAUGCGAGUGUUUGGGUGUCAAACCCAUACGCGUAAUGAAAGUGAACGGAGGUGAGAACCCUUUAGGGUGCAUCAUCGACCGAUCCUGAUGUCUUCGGAUGGAUUUGAGUAAGAGCAUAGCUGUUGGGACCCGAAAGAUGGUGAACUAUGCCUAAAUAGGGUGAAGCCAGAGGAAACUCUGGUGGAGGCUCGCAGCGGUUCUGACGUGCAAAUCGAUCGUCAAAUUUGGGUAUAGGGGCGAGAGACUAAUCGAACCAUCUAGUAGCUGGUUCCUGCCGAAG
rnacentral:rRNA from 1 species